AACAAGAGACUGUAUCAGAAGCCACUAGGUCAUCCUGACUAGCGAGCGCCACAGACAGAGCUUUCUGGAUGGGGUCGCUGGGCCCGUGCAUAUAGGGACCCUGCUGAGUGUUCUGCCCCCUCCCCCCCCAACCCCAUCUCUGUCUCAUUUCUGUCUCUUGACUCUAGCCCAAAGCGACCCAGGGUCUGCUAGCCUGACCCUGUCCAGGAUGCCAGCCCACGGAAUGGUGCCGCCCACAUCCAGGGUGGUUCCUCCGUCUUUCGUUGAACCUUUCUGGAAACACUCUUGCCAACACCCUCAGAGACGCAUCUCCGUCCGAGGUGAUCCCAAAUCCAGUUCCUAGGUUUGAGCUCAGGUCCUGUGCUUGUACAAGAAUCACUUUACUGACUGAAGUGUUACUCUGCCCAGUUACUGAGUUCUUACAAGAAAAACUAGGGCACUGAACAAGAACUGGACUCUGAAACUUGGAAUGGGCACAUCUGAAUGGGCUGAGGCUGGGAACCUUAUCAAGUGAGAUUUAUUUCUCAUGGCUGUGGAAGGAGAACUCCAAGGAGGAGCCCUGGUAGGUAUGUGGGGACAGGCCUGCAGCCUGGUUUGUAGGUGGGUCGCUGUCCUCUGCAGGGUGCUGCAGCACCCGGUCCAGGUCCCUGAGUGCCCUGUCAUACUCCUGCAGCUGGGUCAAGCAGGCCACCCGGAGACGCAGAUGCGGUCUGUGAAGGGGACACAGGGAAAAAGAGCGCAGAGUGAAGUCUGUGGACAUAGUCAGCCUCUGCUGGUGUCUGGUCCUCGCCCUGUGCAGAAGACACCCACACUCUGGAGGCCUGGUCAUGGGUAGGGGUAAGGGACUGGUUUCCUCCUGUGACUGAGGGCUGCGGCUGGCCCAGCAUGUCCACCUCCCCAUAGUCCCUGAAGGCAACGUUGUUUCCCGAGCAGAGGCAGGUUUGCACCCGAAGUUGCUAAGCAUCUUCAUCUCCCCUCCCUGAUCCUGUUUCUCUAGGCCACUAUGAAGGCAGGCAACUUCAUCUCAUCAUAAAUUCGUUAGACUCACAGAAUUCCUCCUCUGCUCAAUAACCUACAACGGUUCCACAGAACCUGAGAUGGGCCUCUGGGUCCCUCCCUCCCCCUUUUAACUGCAUCCAGUCUCACAGCAUACAACACCAUAAACUCUAAAGCCUUCAGAGGCAGGUAAAGCUCCGAGCAUCCCGGGCCGAGUCACUCCUAUAGGGGAUAAACACCACAGAUGUUUUUGCUAGGAGGGCUGAAGGGUUCUGGGGGCCUAUAGGGAGAGGACCUGCUUUCCAGCAUGGAUUGCAGUGCCAUCUCCCGACACUAGACUGAAGGCUCGCACAUGAGCACCCGCUUUUCUUGUUCCCUGCUGUGUGACCCUGCCAGAGCCUCUUGCCCUCCUUGCUGCAUGGUCCACGUGGCUGCUGGAUACAGAUAGAAGGGAUUCAAAAGC
rnacentral:lncRNA from 1 species